GGCAAGUAAAAUAUUUUAUAUUGAAAUAGUUUCCAGAAAGAGAAUAACCAUAUACAUUUUCCACAGUGUGAGGUACUUGCUACGUAAAAUGCUAAAUAAACAACUAGUUAAUUUGUUUGGGGGGUACUACUUAGUAAAUUCAUAAAUACAGGGACCGUAUUGCAAUGUUUCACCUCAUUUUCUUGUGGCUGUUCUUUUUCAGUGUCGGUGCUCUCUCAUUCUUGUCCUUCUCAGUCUUUUCCUUUUUCUCUUUCUUAGGCUGUGUGGGUGAAGCAAACUGCUGUGUGACUUGCUGGGCUACCAGUUGGGGAACAGGACGAGG